rnacentral:rRNA from 1 species
GAUGAACGCUGGCGGCGUGCCUAAUACAUGCAAGUCGAGCGAACAGACGAGGAGCUUGCUCCUCUGACGUUAGCGGCGGACGGGUGAGUAACACGUGGAUAACCUACCUAUAAGACUGGGAUAACGUCGGGAAACCGGAGCUAGUACCGGAAAAUAUAUUGAACCGCAUGGUUCAAUAGUGAAAGACGGUAUUGCUGUCACUUAUAGCUGGAUCCGCGCCAUAUGGGCUAGUUGGUAGGAUAACGGCUUACGAAGGGGACGAUGCGUAGCCGACCUGAGAGGGUGAUCGGCCACAUGGGAACUGAGACACGGUCCAGACUCCUACGGGAGGCAGCAGUGGGGAAUCUGCCGCAAUGGGCGAAGGCCUGACGGAGCAACGCGGCGGGAGUGAUGAAGGUCUUCGGAUCGUAAAACUCUGUUAAUGGGGAAGAACAGAUGUGUAAGUAACUAUGCACGUCUUGACGGUACCUAAUCAGAAAGCCACGGCUAACUACGUG